UAAAUAAAAGGUCACAGAGUCUCGUUAGGGCACAAAAAUAUCCCUGUCUGUAGCUGCCCCCACAUGAACUCUGUGGGGGGGUUACUUUGAGGUCCCCCAUCGGACUCCCACGGGGCAUUCCGUGAGCACUGUGAAGUGGCUUUUCCAUCCAAUGAAGGGCUGACAUGAAGGAAGUUGGUCGAAAUUUUGCAUUUCUUCCUUCACUGAAAAAACGAGCUGUGUGUGUCGAUCCAGUGAUGCCCAACCAACACAGCUUCUUUGCUGCUGCAGACCGGGAG
rnacentral:lncRNA from 1 species